rnacentral:rRNA from 1 species
UACGAGGGGUGCAAGCGUUGCUCGGAAUUAUUGGGCGUAAAGGGUAGGUAGGUGGUCUCAUUUGUCCGGGGUGAAAGCCUUGAGCUUAACUCAAGAAGUGCCUCGGAAACGGUGAGACUGGAGUCCUGGAGAGGGUCGUGGAAUUCCCGGUGUAGCGGUGAAAUGCGCAGAUAUCAGGAAGAACACCCGUGGCGAAGGCGGCUCUCUGGGACGGUACUGACGCUGAGACGCGAAAGCGUGGGGAGCGAACAGG